rnacentral:rRNA from 1 species
CAGUAGCCACGGUAAUACAGAGGGUGCGAGCGUUAAUCGGAUUUACUGGGCGUAAAGCGUGCGUAGGCGGCUUCUUAAGUCGGAUGUGAAAUCCCUGAGCUUAACUUAGGAAUUGCAUUCGAUACUGGGAAGCUAGAGUAUGGGAGAGGAUGGUAGAAUUCCAGGUGUAGCGGUGAAAUGCGUAGAGAUCUGGAGGAAUACCGAUGGCGAAGGCAGCCAUCUGGCCUAAUACCGACGCUGAGGUACGAAAGCAUGGGGAGCAAACAGGAUUAGAUACCCGUGUAGUCCCUGUCUCUUAUAC